GGAUGUGUUAAUUCAUCGAUUGUGUUGUUUUUCUGAGUUGAGUUUUGGUCUCCUUUUCCAUUUUGGGAUCAUCAUCACCACUAAAAACAACUCUUUAUUCUGCUUUCAGUGGUGACUGAGAACAUGGAGAAAGCAAACAACACAUCAUUAGUGAGAACAAAAUCUGAUCAGUUAGUGGAGUCUAUGGUGGCGGCGAUGAAGUCGCCGCCGUCGAGCGACCACUCUGCGAACGGGGUGGUGGAAGGUGGCGGCACCCUGUCGAGGAAGUCGAGCCGGCGGCUGACCGGCGCGUCACCGGGACGCGGCGGCGGAGGGAAGAACACUCACAUAAGAAAGUCUAGAAGUGCUCAAAUAAGCCAAAUGAAGUUGGAUUUUGAUGAUCUGAGCAGUGGUGCAGCACUUAGCAGAGCCUCAAGUGCUAGCUUGGGACUCUCUUUCUCCUUCACUGGCUUCACCAUGCCUCCUGAAGAAAUCGCUGACUCCAAACCCUUCAGCGAUGAUGAUAUUCCUGAAGAUAUCGAAGCUGGACCUAGGACAAAGUUUCAAACGGAACCUACUCUACCCAUAUUUCUCAAGUUCACAGAUGUGAGCUACAAGGUAGUGAUCAAAGGCAUGACAACAACUGAGGAGAAGGAUAUCUUGAAUGGGAUAACUGGUUCUGUAAAUCCAGGGGAAGUUUUGGCAUUGAUGGGUCCCUCAGGAAGUGGAAAAACAACCCUUUUAAACCUUCUUGGAGGCAGGUUAUGCCAUCCUAUAAGUGGUGGAUCUAUCACUUACAAUGAUCAACCAUACUCUAAGUUCCUUAAGAGCAGGAUAGGAUUUGUGACACAAGAUGAUGUUCUGUUUCCUCACUUAACUGUGAAAGAGACUUUGACAUACGCAGCCAGGCUAAGGCUUCCAAAGACAUUCACAAAGGAGCAGAAGGAAAAACGAGCUUUGGAUGUAAUCUAUGAGCUUGGCUUGGAGAGGUGCCAAGACACUAUGAUUGGAGGUUCCUUUGUGCGUGGAGUAUCUGGUGGUGAGAGGAAGAGAGUUUGUAUUGGAAAUGAGAUCAUAAUCAACCCUUCUCUUCUUUUUCUUGAUGAACCAACAUCUGGUUUGGAUUCCACAACAGCCUUGAGGAUCGUUCAGAUGCUACAAGACAUAGCAGAGGCUGGUAAAACAGUGGUGACGACAAUUCACCAACCAUCAAGCAGACUCUUUCACAAAUUUGACAAGUUGAUCCUUCUUGGAAAAGGGAGCUUGCUUUACUUUGGAAAAGCAUCAGAAGCAAUGACUUACUUCCAGUCUAUUGGAUGCUCACCACUUAUUUCCAUGAACCCAGCAGAGUUUUUGCUAGACCUUGCCAAUGGAAACAUAAAUGAUGUUUCCCUACCCUCAGAGUUGGAAGAUAGAGUACACAUGGAAAAUGCAGAAGCAGAAACACCAAAUGGGAAACCAUCACCAGCAGUUGUACACGAGUAUCUGGUGGAGGCAUAUGAAACUCGAGUUGCAGAAACAGAAAAGAAAAGACUAAUGGUUCCUAUACCUCUUGAUGAAGCAGUGAAGUCUAAAGUGUGUUCUCAUAAGAGACAAUGGGGAGCAAGUUGGGAUGAGCAAUAUUCCAUAUUAUUUUGGAGAGGAAUCAAAGAACGUAGACAUGAUUAUUUUAGCUGGUUAAGAAUCACUCAAGUUUUAUCUACUGCUGUCAUUUUAGGAUUACUCUGGUGGCAAUCAGACACUAAGAACCCAAAAGAUCUGCAAGAUCAGGCAGGAUUGCUAUUCUUCAUUGCCGUUUUCUGGGGAUUUUUUCCUGUUUUCACUGCAAUAUUCACAUUUCCUCAAGAAAGAGCCAUGUUGAGUAAGGAGAGAGCAGCAGAUAUGUACAGACUAAGUGCAUACUUCUUGGCUAGAACCACCAGUGACCUUCCACUUGACCUCAUUUUACCAGUGCUUUUUCUACUUGUUGUUUAUUUCAUGGCCGGUCUCAGACUCAGUGUUGCACCAUUUUUCCUCACCAUUCUCACUGUCUUCCUCUGCAUAGUGGCUGCUCAGGGACUUGGACUUGCUAUUGGAGCCACAUUAAUGGACUUGAAAAGAGCAACAACUUUAGCUUCAGUUACUGUGAUGACUUUCAUGCUGGCUGGAGGAUUUUUUGUACAGAGAGUCCCCAUAUUUUUUUCAUGGAUCCGGUACAUGUCUUUCAACUACCACACCUACAAACUUCUGCUGAAGGUGCAAUAUGAACACAUUUCACCAAUCAUAAAUGGUAUCAGAAUUGAUAGUGGUGCAACAGAGGUAGCUGCUCUAAUAGUCAUGGUUUUUGGCUACCGUUUCUUGGCAUAUCUUUCUCUCAGGAGAAUGAAACUUCAAUCAGGGGCUUAACUUAAACUUCACUCUUUGCAUUGCAUGAAUGAAGAAGACUCAAACACCAAAUGGUGCACCUAGGCUUGAUCAGGCUUUGGAAAAGGAAGAAAGAGAAAAGGCAAAUGAUGUAUGCAAAUGAUGGAUAUAUAACUAUUAGAAACCCCUUUAGACUUAAUAAAAAUGUGAUAAGUAGAAAUGAUUUUUGGGAAGAUUAAGGAGGUAACUUAAGUUACUAUAUUGAGGGCUUAAAGAUGCUAAUAGUAUAAUGUGCAUCAAAAUAUAUCACAGCAUAAGAAGAAAAACAUAACGAGGGUACAAUGUGAUAGUUAUGUACAAUC